GGGUUUUGAAGAAUGAACAGAAGCUCUGUGUUAAAUGAAGAAGAAACAGGAGUCCCUCCAAGCACAGGAACCACUCAUGUCAAGAUAUGGGGCAAAAAGAGAGGACGUAUUUGGAGACUAGAGAGUAACCGAAGGCUAUCAUUCAAUCGGUGAUAGUCUUCAUGCAGGUUAAUAUCAAAGGCAACCUGAAUUUCCUCAGACUUCAUGAACUGGCGGUGAAGGGUGAGAUCACACAAGCAGUAAUAACCCAGCUCUCCCUGGCUCACUGCCUUAAAUACUGGACUUCUGGUCCCCAGCAAAGCUGUCCCCAUGAAUUUGGGAGUCUCCAUUCCUGUCCUUCCACUCCCCUCAAACGUCCUUGCAUUCAAGGUCACAUGGUAACUUGACUCUUCUCACCACUACUUCUGUGGGAAUGCGGGGACCAGGCCAGAGCUGUGGGUGCUGCCCUCCCCAGAGACUUCACUAUGCCCAGGGAGGACUGACUGGAGGAGGGGACCAGGCAUCUCCCCUGCACUCUGGGCCCACAGCAACCCUGUAUACCAGUCCGUAUUAACCUUACCACUCCUUCCUCCAAAGGGCUGAGACCUCAACCAUGGGACCUGGGUGGUGAUCACCACAAAACUUCUUCCUGAAAGUUCUUCUCCAACAACUUUUCACAUUCAGUUAUUCAUUCAACAAACAUUGAGCAACAACCUAAUAUUCUGGGCUCUGGAGACCGAGUUCAAAAGAAGACAGCAGGCCUCUGCCCCCACUUCCUGACAGGUCACUGCAUCUUGAGUGCUAAGACUGUCAUCACAGAGUGAGGAGGGGAACUGAGCUCAGAGGGGUAGAACCUCCUGAAAGGGCAGAACAGCUCAUGCAUCCUGCCAAGGUCAGAAGGUGCCGGAUCCAGGGCAAAAAUGAAGACAUAUGGGACCUUAGGUGACAAGGAAGAAGCUCCCAGGCAGCAUGUGGGAUGGACCCAAGGAGAACGUCAGAGAGAAAGGUUCAGUCUGGUGUCUCCUAAAGCAGGUUAAAAUUAAGCUCGGCAGGCUCGAUGUAAAUGUGCAGACAAAGCAAAGCAGGAAGCCUCCCACACUAAAAAGGGAAGAUAAGAAUCACAGAAGCCGGGAUGGUUUUUAUUGAAGGGCACUUCAAAGCAAAUACAGACAUCUACAGCAUAUCUGUAAAUCCUCCGUAUGUGUAUGGAAACACACACCUUCACACAUCAAAACUGGAUUUGUUCCUGAGUAAUAAAACGUCCUAAGAACAAAACGAAAGCAAACUGAAUAGCAGAAAAAUACUUCCAUCGUAUACCACACAGGAUUAUUUAUUAACCUCAACACACCAAGAGUUAAGAAAAUAAUGCAACAGGAACAAAGGGCAAUGGAUACGUACCGGGAAGACCACAGAGAAAGAAAAUGCAAAAAUGGCUAAUAAUAUAAAAUAUUUCCUAGGUUCUAUAGUAACCAGGGAAAGACAAAAUUACACUUUUGACCUCUUAGACUGGCAGUGACAAAGGUUAUUUGAGUGACCAAACUUUAGUCAGGCUCCUGGAUCUUCUAGGCCCAUCUGGGCACUUCCUCAUAAAAUACAGUUUUAGCAAACGCCCUGCUAAAUUGGUUUACCAAGAACUCCUACCCUCAGUGGAGUUCCUUAUCUCUUCACCUUUCCUCAGGUGAGGCCUGAUCAUCCUGGCCUAUCUUCAGCAAGAGGGCCCUAACCGUGACGUUUCCUCUUAGUAAAUUUCCAUCCACUGACACUCACUUAUAAUUUAUAGCCAGGAGCAAGCUCCUUGGCUUUAAAUUAUUUUCCCUGUUAUAUUCAGAGUUGAGCCCAAUCCCUCUCUCCGACUACAAAAUCUGAUAGCAGUAGUCCCUAUACCUAUUGCAAUGGUCCCAAAUAAAACCUGCCUUACUGUG